rnacentral:rRNA from 1 species
UACAGAGGUCUCAAGCGUUGUUCGGAUUCAUUGGGCGUAAAGGGUGCGUAGGCGGCGCGGUAAGUCGGGUGUGAAAUUUCGAGGCUUAACUUCGAAACUGCAUUCGAUACUGCCGUGCUUGAGGACUGGAGAGGAGACUGGAAUUUACGGUGUAGCGGUGAAAUGCGUAGAUAUCUGGAGGAACACCGGUGGCGAAGGCGGCAUCCUGGACCAACACUGACGCUGAUGAGCGAAAGCCAGGGGAGCAAACGGG